ACAAGAACUCGUGACUUUAACUGGACAAAUGAGGGAGCCAACUGACUUGAGGUGUACAACACAACAGUCACGAGGAAGGGAACUCUAUCCACGGUCCUGUGAGCAAAGGAAGCAACGGACAGCAAAGGAAACAAAGACAGCUGCCAGCAGGAAGUCUCGACACACUGCCUCCAGGAAGUGAGACUGCAGGAUGGUGGGAAGCAGAUGUAGUCCUGCGAGGCUCUGCCUGCAGCCGGUCCAGCUGGAAACUCGUCUCCUCCCAGAGGGCUCGCAGCUCCCCAACAGGCUCCUCCAGAACCACAGCCCCGUUCACUGACACCCGGACCUAGGAAGAGGAACAAAUCUCCCUGGGCUAGGAGAAAGGAUGGCCCUCCACAGCGGGAGAGGGAUGGACCAUGGCCGCCCCACUCUGACUGCCCACUGCACACUGCUCUCUCCCUCACUUCCUCACCGUGGCGUGGGGCCCGGCCUCGCCUGUGUGGCCCAGCUCCAGGCAGUGGAGGCCAGCAUCCCAGUAACGCUUCAGCACCUGGGCCAGGCAUGUGACGAGGCCUCCAUCGCUGACAUCGUGGCCUGAGCAGAGGAGGCGGUCUGGAGGAAGGAGAAGAAAGGUCGGCAACCUAGGGGCCCAAACCUGACAGCCCCCCUCCAUCUUCCAGAGUCAGUCCAUCAAGAGCGUGUGUGAGAAUGUCGGGGGAUCUGAGCUCUCUCUCUAGCCCAUACCCAGGUGGCUCACGUCUGCCCCAGUGUCUGCUCCCAACAACCUGGGCCAACUCACCCUUCGGUCUCCAGUGAUGGUGCCCACGAAGCAAGCCGAGCAACGUUCACGGGCACUGACACGAGUCAGGAAGUUCCGGUCAGGGGACCUCAGGAGAAGUGCAUUUGAUUCCUGGUACUCAGCCCCCCAGAUUUCCAGGGCAUUCAGGGUCGGGUCCCCGAGCUGCACGGCCAUGGCGGGGAGGAAAGAGAAGGGCCAGUGGGCACUCCCACAUCUCAUGUUGUUGCAAGAGAGAGAUGGGUGGGCGUGGGCUGGGGCUGGCAGGGAUGGGAAAAUGCCAGACUUCAGGGGAUGAGACCCACCUGGAAGCGGCUGGUGUAAAUGAUGGCUCCAGCUGGGUCACUCAGCUCCUUUAGGACGUUGCCUGGUGAGAGGGUUGCAAGGAGAAGUAGUGACCUCGUGGUGGUCAGGCAACAAAGGGCAGUCCCUGGUCUCCAAAGGAGCCCCUAAUUCUGUGUGUUCCUGUGUCAACUGCUGCCACACCCUCACCACCAAUCAAUCAUCCCACAGCAGCAGGCUCCCACCCUUCCAACCCUGAACCUGUCUAGAAUGUACAGAGCGUGGAGAAUGGGACCCAGAGCUGGGUGGUUGGUUGGAGAUUCCUGAUACCUCUCUCUAAACCAAACCUGGCAGGAUACCAGGCAGGCCCAGUCUCUUGUUCUAAUUCCUUUCCUCACCAUUGCCACCAGCGCCCUGAUCGUGAAGGCUACAGAUGGGGUUUCCCUGGGGGGCCUCCACACAAGCCCUGAUCACACGGUUCAUCUUCUGUUCCAUCUCCGGGUCUCCUCGCUGCACAGCCCCAAAGUCCAGGUCACUGGUGUUAUCUCCCUGCACCUGGGGGCAUAUAUGGCAUAGCUUAGUUCAGCGAGGCUGGAAGCUCCUGUACGCGCUCCUAUGCCUGGGGCCCGGUUAUAUCAAGGAUUCUGCACCUUUAACAAUUCCCACUCACCUGCACAGACGAAGCAGCUCCACCUCCAACUCCAAUCCUGUAGACGGGACCUCCAACCUUUACAACUUCCAUGCCUGUAAGAAGGGAAGGCAGAAUCAGAACACCGGGAAAGCCAUGAGAAGAGGCCUCGAAAGCAAGGCAGCGUGAGGACAGAGGAAGCUGAUGUUAGGGGAGGAGAAG